rnacentral:rRNA from 1 species
GCAGUCGAGCGAGCGGAACAGCAGAAUCACUUCGGUGAGGACGCUGGGAAAGCGAGCGGCGGAUGGGUGAGUAACACGUGGGGAACCUGCCCUUAAGUCUGGGAUACCACUUGGAAACAGGUGCUAAUACCGGAUAAGAAAGCAGUUCGCAUGAACAGCUUUUAAAAGGCGGCGCAAGCUGUCGCUAAAGGAUGGACCCGCGGUGCAUUAGCUAGUUGGUAAGGUAACGGCCUACCAAGGCAGUGAUGCAUAGCCGAGUUGAGAGACUGAUCGGCCACAUUGGGACUGAGACACGGCCCAAACUCCUACGGGAGGCAGCAGUAGGGAAUCUUCCACAAUGGACGCAAGUCUGAUGGAGCAACGCCGCGUGAGUGAAGAAGGUUUUCGGACCGUAAAGCUCUGUUGUUGGUGAAGAAGGAUAGAGGUAGUAACUGGCCUUUAUUUGACGGUAAUCAACCAGAAAGUCACGGCUAACUACGUGCCAGCAGCCGCGGUAAUACGUAGGUGGCAAGCGUUGUCCGGAUUUAUUGGGCGUAAAGCGAGCGCAGGCGGAAGAAUAAGUCUGAUGUGAAAGCCCUCGGCUUAACCGAGGAAUUGCAUCGGAAACUGUUUUUCUUGAGUGCAGAAGAGGAGAGUAGAACUCCAUGUGUAGCGGUGGA